GACGAACGCUGGCGGCGUGCCUAAUACACGCAAGUAGAACGCUGAAGCGAGGAGCUUGCUCUUCUUGGAUGAGUUGCGAACGGGUGAGUAACGCGUAGGUAACCUGCCUUGUAGCGGGGGAUAACUAUUGGAAACGAUAGCUAAUACCGCAUAACAAUGGAUGACACAUGUCAUUUAUUUGAAAGGGGCAAUUGCUCCACUACAAGAUGGACCUGCGUUGUAUUAGCUAGUAGGUGAGGUAAUGGCUCACCUAGGCGACGAUACAUAGCCGACCUGAGAGGGUGAUCGGCCACACUGGGACUGAGACACGGCCCAGACUCCUACGGGAGGCAGCAGUAGGGAAUCUUCGGCAAUGGGGGCAACCCUGACCGAGCAACGCCGCGUGAGUGAAGAAGGUUUUCGGAUCGUAAAGCUCUGUUGUAAGUCAAGAACGGGUGUGAGAGUGGAAAGUUCACACUGUGACGGUAGCUUACCAGAAAGGGACGGCUAACUACGUG
rnacentral:rRNA from 1 species